rnacentral:rRNA from 1 species
GAUGAACGCUGGCGGCGUGCUUAACACAUGCAAGUCGAACGGAAAGGCCCAAGCUUGCUUGGGUGCUCGAGUGGCGAACGGGUGAGUAACACGUGGGUGAUCUGCCCUGCACUUUGGGAUAAGCCUGGGAAACUGGGUCUAAUACCGGAUAGGACCAUCGUUUAGUGUCGGUGGUGGAAAGUUUUUCGGUGUGGGAUGAGCUCGCGGCCUAUCAGCUUGUUGGUGGGGUAAUGGCCUACCAAGGCGUCGACGGGUAGCCGGCCUGAGAGGGUGUACGGCCACAUUGGGACUGAGAUACGGCCCAGACUCCUACGGGAGGCAGCAGUGGGGAAUAUUGCACAAUGGGCGCAAGCCUGAUGCAGCGACGCCGCGUGGGGGAUGACGGCCUUCGGGUUGUAAACUCCUUUCGCCAAGGACGAAGCGUUCUGUGACGGUACUUGGAGAAGAAGCACCGGCUAACUACGUG